rnacentral:ncRNA from 1 species
UAAAAGACAUCAAUACACGGCGGCUUUAUAAAGUAAUUUAUAAAGACCAUGCUGACUAAUAUCGGUGAAAUCCGAAUCGAAUCCGCCAUUUGGCGGAGCGAAGGACAACACCGAGGGAAAAUUGUGUGCUUCAUUGAGGAAAAGUUUGUACGUUUUUGGUCGCGUAACUUAAAGUAGAGUACCCGACUGUCCAUCGGGGUGUCGAAGGCAUAACGAACCUUCCGCGACCACCAAAUUUUGAGGCAACUAUAGUUGCCUCUUCAAUGAAGUACAUGAUUACCCGUAGAGACUACACGUCAGCCUCCUUCACAACUUAGGACUUGUCCUGAGCGAAGUCGAAGGAUGAAGAUAUAGUCCAAUGCGCACAGUAAUGUGCGA